UGUGCCGUCCUUUUAUUUCACAAAGUUGUUUUCACAUCCUGGCUGAACCUUCCUGUGUGUGACCAUCAUAUAUGUGUGUCUGCAAGGACACAAGGGGCAUAACCUAACAAAUGUGUGGGGUCAACUGGUUUCCCAAAGGGACUCUACUGAGAAGCUGGCUCACCAAGUCACGGCCCAGAUUGCUGCUCCUUAUUGCAGGGUUAAAGAGGCCCCAGGUGACCCUCAUGAGAAGGAAAAGGAUGAAGCGCACAAAAGUAGCAAAGGCCACGUAAGCGAACCUGCAGCCGAAUGUCCCACUUCAGCUGAGUUCUUGACAGUGCGAAGUUGCUUAUGGAAGACAAAGAAACAGACAACCUUUGUGUAGCACAAAUGCUACAAAAAGAACUAAAAUGCAGGAAAUGCUGAAAAGGAAUACAGAGAAUGAACUAAAGAGACUGAGAUCUCAUUUCAGAAAGCUUUCUUGACAGCACACUUCUGCUUUGACUCAUAUUCACUGUAAUGUGACUUUGUACAUCUUUCCUAUAGCUGUGUUGGUAGAUUAGCCCCACUGGCUGUUUCCUAGUUUAACUCUAUCUGGUUUGAGUUUUUAGGCAGCCCAAACUAGGUACUGACAAACUGUAUAGUUAAAACCACUACUGUCUCACAUUCUUCAGUCAAUGCUUUACAAAUAGCUUAUUUCAUUGGAGGAUAAUGCUUUGCAUAAUAGUCACUACUACUAUUACUACUACUCCUACUACCACUGCCACUAUAACUACUACUACCACCGCUACAACUACAGUUACUACUACUACUACUACCACCACCACCACCACCACCACUACUACUACUAAUAAUAAUAAUAAUAACAAUAAUAAUAAUAAACAAAAAGAAUAUCAUAGUUUACAUAUAAAAAUAAAGGUGUUAAUGGAAAUAUUAUUUGAAUUGCUACAUGCACUCAAACAAAUUAUAUUUGAUCUUUUAGCUGUUUGUCAAAGUUAAUGUUUUUUUCUUUUAUUUUUCAAAGCAAAAGCAAAGAAAUAAUCAUUUACUGACAUAAUUAUGAAACAGGUCAAUGAUUGAGUUUAUUAAGUUUCUUCUGCCUUGAUAAUUUGAAUUGACCAUGGAUUUUUGAUUCUAAUAAAAAUAUAAGAUGCUUACACA